rnacentral:lncRNA from 1 species
CAAGCCCAACCUAGUUUAACCUGGCUGACUUGAAGAUGGCGGACCAAAGAGGCUGACCUGAAGAUAGCAGACCCAAGGUGGCUAAGGUGGAAGUUCAAGUGGAGAGGCAAGCUGAUGGAAGGCUAUGAAUCAAUUCCAAAGUCUUUGCGAGUGCCUUUGGUGUAAGAAGCUGAAGAUCGGAUGUGCACAAGAUGUCAAGAUCUAUUUUGCACAAGGUUUCAAGGCUCAAG